UCUUUUGAAUCAAAGUAUGCAGUUUUCUUUUCCAAUGGUCAUAAUAGAAAAACAUGGGCAUUCAAUCUGAUCGCAACGCACAUGUCAAUAUAGGAUUUUCAUCGUUUUGAUCAAAAUCUGAAAUUUCAGAGCCUAGAAGGAUCUUCUUCUAGUUUAAGUACCAUGUAAGUCAGGCAAAAGUAGGCUGUACAUAUCCAAUCCCCAUUUAUGUACAUGAAUAUCUUAUCCCUGGAUCAAAUGCCUACUUCUUCAUAUAUAAAUUUCAGUGUUUCAUUCUAAUUUUAGGCAAUGUUUUAAAUCUCCGGCUAUAGCUGUCGCUAUAGCCGGAGAUAGCUGCUGAGGAAACAGAUAGCUAGGACUAGGAGAUGCACCUUUUAGCGCUAAACAAUGGUCAAUGCUAAUGGCUGGAGAUAACCGGUGAUAGCCGCUAAUUCAUGGCUUGUUUAGUGGAAGCUAAAAAGCAAUGGCCCACAAAAGGAUCGUGGCCCAUGGAACGGCAGCCCACGAAGGCACGAAAUGGCAGCCCACUCUAGCUUCACCGUUCAGAACCCUAUCUUCUAUCUCCUCUCAAAAAAAAAAGAACCCUAUCUUCUAUCUGUGUUCUCUCCCACCCGUCUCUCUCCCAAAAGCGGCGGCGGCGGCGGCGCACUGAAGACGGCGACAGAGCGCCAUACUGAAGACAGUAGCGCGACGCCAAAAUGGAGAUGUGCCUGAUUGAAGACGGUGGUGCUGCACCAUCUUCCUCUCCCCCAAGGCGAAGGCGGCGAGCUUCAACGAGCAGACCCCAAGGCGCAGGUGGCUGCGAAGCUUUGGCGGAGAAGGAGGCGGCCAGGAGCGGUGGACGCGAGAGGCGACGGAGGCAGCUAAGAAGUAAGAAGUCCAAGUUGUAGACACUGAAAUCCCCACUAGUUCUCUCCUUCGGUUCUUCCCCAAGCACCACUAAUUCCUGGUGUAGACACUACGGCAGAGCAAUCCGGCAAGUUUCAAAUUCACUGCAAUCCAUUAAAGAUCUGUGCUUGUUCAGUCUAUGCUUGAUGGUCAUGGAUCCAUUAUUUCAUUUUUUCCCUGAUUUUUGUAAAAAACAGCUAAAUCUCUUAGCUGCAGCUAUCUCCGGCUAUAGCUGCACUUAGCUAUUGCGGAGGACAACAGCUAAGAGGCUUAGCCGGAGAUUUUAAACCUUGAUUUUAGGUUGUAAACCUUCAGAACCAGAACACAUGGAUUUAAAUAUUAUUAAGACAUUGUUGCUUUCUGAAAGACCAAGUGAUGAGUACAUAGCUGGGGUAAAAGGUUUUCUUAAGUUUGCAUACACAGGCAAGAAAUCCAAUGCAAAGAUCCGAUGCCCUUGUGUCCAGUGUGUUAAUAGAGUGUUACAAAAGCAAGAUACAAUUUUUGAUCACUUAUAGCAUGCAAUGGAAUGCUUCGUGCAUACACUAUAUGGGGUUGCCAUUGGGAAACAGUAUCAUAUAUCUCUGCAGCUAACAAGGAUUCAGAGUCACAACUUCCAAGUUUAAACAAUAAUAUGCGACAAGUAGUCCAUGAAGCUUUUGGAUAUGAAAACAAUGGACAUCACACAAAUGAACCAGAUCCUGAAAGUUGUUCUAAAGCUGAACCAGAUGCAGAAACACAAGCUUUCUUUGAUUUGCUUCAUGAUAUUGACCAACCUUUAUGGGAAGGCUGUGAACUAUCAAAACUUUCUUUUCUAGUCCUCCUGUUUAAUGUCAAGUCCAGCAAUAAGUGGAGCAAUAAAUCUUUAAAUGAUUUGCUUCAAAUUUUACAACUUGCUCUGCCAAAUGGUGCCAACAUACCAAGAACAUUUGCAGAGGCUCGGAAGAUCAUUGCAAAGCUUGGCCUAAGAUAUGAAAAAAUUCAUGUAUGCCCAAAUAAUUGUCAGCUCUAUCGAAAGGACAAGAAAGAUGACGACUUCUGUUCAAAAUGUGAAGCUUCAAGAUGGAAAGAUAUACCAGACAAAACAACCUUAACAAAGAAGCAAAGAAGAAAGGCUGUCCCAUAUAUGGUGUUGCGAUACUUUCCAAUCAAACCAAGGCUUAAAAGGAUUUUUAUGAACAAAGAAACAACCUAAUUAACUAGAUGGCAUGAUGAGGAGCGUACUAAGGAUGGGGCAUUGCGCCAUCAUGCUGAUUCAGAUGUUUGGAAAGCUAUUAAUACUCAACACCCUGACUUUGCAUUAGAUUCUCGGAACAUGAGAUUUGGUUUAUCUAGUGAUGGAUUCAACCCAUUUCGAAAGUGCAACUCAAAACAAAGUUGCUGGCCUGUUGUCUUGGUACCUUACAACCUUCCUCCAUGGUUGUGCAUGAAAGCUUCUUCUCUUAUGCUUACUCUGAUACCUAGGCAAGGACUUCCACACAUUUAUGCAGCCAAUUUAUGAUGAGUUGAAUGAACUGUUUGACAUCAGUAUGCCUACGUAUGAUGCAUCUCGAGAUGAGGUGUUCCAACUUCGUGCAACAUUGUUGUAUACAAUCAGUGACUAUCCUGGGGCUGGGAUAUUGGCACAGUUCAGCACUAGUAGCCAGCUGGGUUGUCUGUCAUGUGAAGAAGGAACAAGUUCCAUGCGGUUGAAGCAUGGCUACAAAUAGUGUUACAAUGGACAUCGACGGUUUCUACCUGCUGACCAUGAGUUUCGAUAUGAUGCCAAAUCUUUUGAUGGAACUGAAGAUCAUCGAUCGACACCAGUUCCUUGUUUUGGAUUAAAUCUUUUGGAAAAGAUAGAAUGAAUCAAGGAUUUUGACAGUUCAAAAACAUGGAAGGGUGCUGGUGGCCUUUUUUGCUUGUCUUAUUGGAAGUAUAAUUUGCUCCGGCACAAUCUUGACUUUAUGCAUAUAGAAAAGAAUGUCUGUGAAAAUACAUAUGGAACACUUUUAGAAAUGGAGGGCAAGUCAAAGGACAAUCUGCAGGCAAGGAAAGACUUGCAAGAAAUGAACAUUCAGCCGGAUCUACAUCAACAAAAAAAGGCUAACGAUAAGUAUUACUUACCUCCUGCUUUGUAUAAUAUGUCAAAAGAAGAGAAGCAACAGUUUUGUAUGGUCCUUCAUGAUAUUAAGGUUCCAGAUGGUUAUUCUAGUAACAUCUCCAAAUGUGUAAAUGUUGCUCAAGCAAAACUUUCAGGCCUAAAAAGUCAUGAUUGCCAUAUACUAAUGCAACAACUUCUACCGGUUGCUUCGCGAGGGCUUCUCCCUGAUGAUGUUACAUCUAUCUUGUUUGAUCUUUGUGGGUAUUUUAGAGAGCUAAAUGCAAAGGUUCUCUACAUAGAUGAUCUUGAAAAGUUAGAGGAGCGAAUUAUAAUGACAUUAUGCCGGAUGGAGAUGAUAUUUCCUCCAGGAUUUUUUACUAUGAUGGUGCAUUUAGUUCUUCACUUAGCAACAAAGGCAAAAAUAGGUGGUCCUGUUUGCUAUCGAUCAAUGUAUUUUGUGGAAAGGUACCUUGGUGAGCUGAAAUCAAAUGUGAGGAACAAAGCUCAUCCAGAGGGAUGUAUUGCCGAAUCAGUUUUGGCAAAAGAGGCUAUGGUACUUUGUUCAGGAUUUCUUGGUGGUUUUCAAAGCUUGGUUAACAAGCUCUCAAGGACUGAUGAUAAUGAUGAAACACUUGAAUCUUCUAUUGGACCAGCAUCAACUCUUUUUCCAAAUGUUGGAAGGGCACUUGGAAAGCCACGAAGUUAUGUUAUAAGAGAUAUAUUAUAGAGCUCAUGCUGAAGAGAUCACAACUAAGCAUAUUGGACGUCGAGGGAGCCAUAGAGAAGUUGAGAAAAUACAAAAUGAGAAGUUCCAUCAAUGGUUUAGAGGACAUAUUAUGCAGAUUGAGAGGGUAGAUGGCAUUCACAGUUUGAAAGAUGGCAUCAAAUGUCUAGCUUGUGGCCCAGUUGAAGCAGCAAAAAGGUAUCGUGCUUUCAACAGUCGAGGUUUUCAAUUUAGGCCGAAACUGUUCGAUGGGGAGACUCAAAUAGUGGAGUAGUGCUUACUGCCAAAACAUCCUGUUAUGCUAGUGCAAGUGAUGCCAGACCGGUUUUAGGUGAUGUGACUUACUAUGGGAGGAUAAUUGAUAUUAUUGAGUUGAACUACUCUGGGAAUUUUUCUGUGGUACUUUUCAAAUGUGAAUGGAUUGAUGUUCUUACUGGAAGAGGAAUAAAAAAAGGAUAAGUAUGGA